AUGUUUUUACUCUCCCUUUUGUUUCUUCUAGCUAUUCUACAGUACAGAGAGAUCGAAUCACCGGCGGAAGACAGAAAGAGAAACGUAAUGAUGCAGAAGACAGAUUGCGGGACGGCAAAAUAUGCCUCCUUCUGGCCAUUGAUAGUGAUUGAUGUGCGCAAAGAGCUAUCUAGGCCUAUAUACGCAUUGUAAAAAUCGAUGAACUUUAAGGUUUUCGCUGACCGGUGGCUGCGUGGAGCGUGGACAUGGCCAUGGUGCCAUAUAGAUUCAUUCAUAAAUGCCAUAAUAGUGGCAUCGAAUCACCGACGGCAGAUGGAGAAGACAGACUGCAAGGCGACAAAUCACGUUUUAUUUGUCUAUUAAUUUCUGGUUAUAUAUCAUGUCAUUGUCAUUAUGUGUACUAACCAAUAUCGUAUUACGUAGAACGAGCACACUUGCAUGAACAAAAACAGAUAUCUAUGCGUGCAUAAGCACGCACGCGCACAAAUAGAUACCAUAUACAAGGUAGAAGCCCCGCGCACGUCUAGAAAGCAUUAGAAGUGAGAUUUGUGGUGUAAUAUUCGUGCAGUCGCGUCUAGUGGUGUAGCCAUGGUUGGCGGUCGGCCAUUUUGUAUUUGA